rnacentral:rRNA from 1 species
GACGAACGCUGGCGGCGUGCUUAACACAUGCAAGUCGAACGGAAAGGCCCUGCUUUUGUGGGGUGCUCGAGUGGCGAACGGGGGAGUAACACGUGAGUAACCUGCCCUUGACUUUGGGAUAACUUCAGGAAACUGGGGCGAAUACCGGAUAGGAGCUCCUGCUGCAUGGGGGGGGUGGGAAAGUUUCGGCGGUUGGGGAUGGACUCGCGGCUUAUCAGCUUGUUGGUGGGGUAGUGGCUUACCAAGGCUUUGACGGGUAGCCGGCCUGAGAGGGUGACCGGCCACAUUGGGACUGAGAUACGGCCCAGACUCCUACGGGAGGCAGCAGUGGGGAAUAUUGCACAAUGGGCGGAAGCCUUAUGCAGCAACGCCGCGUGCGGGAUGACGGCCUUCGGGUUGUAACCCGCUUUCGCCUGUGACGAAGCGUGAGUGACGGUAAUGGGUAAAGAAGCACCGGCUAACUACGUG